GUCGUAACCGCCAGUGGAGUGGAGGCGAGCGCCUGUGCUACAGGUCACACAGAGGCAGCUGCAAACUCAUGUGUUUCAUAAAAUAUCCAGCGUGGAAGCUCAUAGAAGAUGGAUAUAUAAUGUUUUUGGAGAGGAGAGCAAACAGGCAGAGAAAGAGUUCGAGAGACUGAAGGGGUCAGAGACAGUACACACAUUUUGUGGAAGCAAGUAAAGAAGAAAUGCAACAAGACAAGAAACAAGACAACCACCAUAAAGACAGACAGACCAAAGAUAAAUAUGGACUAAAGCACUAGGCUGGCUCUCAUUAAAUGGGGACCUUGGGUACGUAACCAUGGAGAAGAUGGGACUGGGUCUGACCGGUCUCUGCUCCUGGGACCAGUCAUGAAGUGCUGUGUUUGAGACAGACGGUUACCGGGGAAACUCGCAGACCCGUUCCACUCGCAGUGUAUAAAGAAAGGAAUUGAAAAGAGAUAUGGUGUCAGCAUUUUGGUAGGAGGCCCAUCUGUGUCAGCAAUAUUAGUUUCAGAGUGAUGGGUCCAUAAUAUUGUUGAUGCUUGAUGACAUCCUAGUCAUAAAUACUGUAUGCAUUCAUUUUUGUGUGACAUUAUAAACCUAUACAGUAAAUGGCUCUGCUUUAACCAGACUAAGGUAGUUUACAGGUGGUUUAAGCCAAUUUGAUUAAUUUCCCAAGCUGGACUGUUACUAGUUGGCUGGCUGUGCACGAAACCCCUUGAAACCAGAAAAAAAAACAAUCAUAUUGUUUUCUUAGUAAAAUAAUUUUUCAUUAAAGUUGGGUAAGUGAUAAUAAAGAAUAGAGACAGAUUACAGGUUAAAACAUAUGUUUUGGUAAACAGGAAAUGAAAAGAAACAGUACAGACAAUUUCAGUAAAAUCCCCGCAUAGACCUUGAAGGGAACGCAGUUAACUCUUUCAUAAAGCCGUAGUAAUAAACUGAGCAUUAGUGUAUAUAAAACAGUUCAUCUGUUGUAAAUCAUGAGAAAUAGUACAAUUACCAGUACAAUAAAACAUCGGAUCAUAUUCUCAUUGCAGACAGCAAGGUCGAGCAGGUCUUGUGUGCUUUUAAAGUAGGUGAGAGGCGUGUAUUAAAGCCCCAAGGGUUUUUACAAAAGCAGUCAAUAUAGUCCCUGUGUGACAAACAAUAACACAUGCCAUCUGUCAUAAGUGCCAACGAUGCUUAACCCAAUACAUUUCUGUGAGCCAGGUUUGUGUUGCGGCAAGGAAAUUAUUUUCUGUACAUGUCUGGCUUUAUAUAAGCUUGGCAGGACGCCUCCGAGUGAUGGGUUAAGAUUGCCCACAUGGGCUUUAUUUGUUGAUCCUUGGAAUCAUACAUGCAUGCCUGCUGUGUGGACCUUAAUGGGAAAUUUGGAGCAAAUGUUUUUUGCUGAAUUAGAAUGGAAACUCUCUCUCAGUCUCUCGCUCGCUUUCUCACAUAAUGAUGAUGGAUUGGAUACAAGGACAGAACAAUGGCAGUGGUAUUCAACAGCACCUGUGUGGAUUACAGUUUCACUGCCGACCCCAGAAUGCAGGAGGAAGUUCUUGUACGUCUUGUUAGCAUGUUCACUUCAAACAAAACAUUCGGUAGCACUAUGUUUUACAGUCCAGUUCCAUGUGUAUAUACAGACUGAAUUCGCACAUAUUAUCGGAGUUGACUUAUUUGUAUAAAUUCGUACAAAGUUAAUCUUGCAAAAAGGUAUGAUUAUCAUAAACAACAAUAAUGAAACCCUACCCCCUAAACCAAACCUUAGAGGGGCAAAGGCAAAUCAUACAAAAAUUAUCGUACAAAUUAAUAAGAAUUAGCCAACUCAUAAAAUACACACAAAUUGCCAUUAGAUAGUUUUGGUAUAUACUGUGU